rnacentral:rRNA from 1 species
GACGUAGGGCGCGAGCGUUGUCCGGAUUUAUUGGGCGUAAAGAGCUCGUAGGCGGCUUGUCGCGUCGAAUGUGAAAACUCGGGGGCUCAACUCCGAGCUUGCAUUCGAUACGGGCAGGCUAGAGUUCGGUAGGGGAGACUGGAAUUCCUGGUGUAGCGGUGAAAUGCGCAGAUAUCAGGAGGAACACCGAUGGCGAAGGCAGGUCUCUGGGCCGAUACUGACGCUGAGGAGCGAAAGCGUGGGGAGCGAACAGG